AAGACUAUAGACCUGCGGAGUACCUGCGGAAGGAUCAUUAAAGAGUUGCAAAACUCCCAAACCAUUUGUUUAUCUACCUGUUUCGUUGCUUCGGCAGGCGGCUCUUCGGGGCCUUUGCUACCUGUAGUGCCUGCCGGAGUAUCCAAAACUCUUGUUAUUUUUGUUUUGUCUGAGUAAACUUUUAAUAGUUAAAACUUUCAACAACGGAUCUCU
rnacentral:misc_RNA from 1 species